UAAUGAAGUUAGAACUUUGGAUAACUUAAAUCCUGAUGUGCGACUCAUUCUUGAAGAAAUCACCAGAUUUUUGAAUAUGGAAAAACUUCUUCCGAGUUACAGGCAUACCAUCACUGUCAGGCUGGAGUGCAGUGGCGCAAUCUUGGCUCACCACAACCUCCACCUCCUGGGUUCCAGUGAUUCUCCUGCCUCAGCCUCCUGAAUAGCUGGGAUUACAGGCAUGCACCACCAUGCCUGGCUAUUUUUGUAUUUUCAGUAGAGACGGGGUUUCACCAUGUUAGUCAGUUGUUUGAGAGCCAUACGGGUACUUCAGAAGAACGGACAUGUGCCAAGUGAUCCAGCUCUUUUUAAAUCUUAUGCUGAAUAUGGCCACUUUGUGGACAUUAGGAUAGCAGCUUUGGAAGCAGUUGUUGAUUAUACUAAAGUGGACAGAAGUUAUGAAGAACUGCAAUGGCUACUUAAUAUGAUUCAGAAUGACCCUGUACCCUAUGUAAGGCAUAAGAUUCUCAACAUGUUGACUAAGAACCCACCAUUUACUAAGAACAUGGAGUCUCC
rnacentral:lncRNA from 10 species